GACGAACGCUGGCGGCGUGCCUAACACAUGCAAGUCGAACGGAGAUACGAUUUCGGUUGUAUCUUAGUGGCGAACGGGUGAGUAACGCGUGAGCAACCUGACCUUCAGAGGGGGAUAACAUUUGGAAACAGAUGCUAAUACCGCAUAAGACCACGCUGUGGCAUCACAGAGAGGUCAAAGGAGCAAUCCGCUGAAGGAGGGGCUCGCGUCCCAUUAGAUAGAUGGCGGGGUAACGGCCCACCAUGUCGACGAUGGGUAGCCGAGCUGAGAGGCUGAUCGGCCACACUGGAACUGAGACACGGUCCAGACUCCUACGGGAGGCAGCAGUGGGGAAUAUUGGGCAAUGGGCGCAAGCCUGACCCAGCAACGCCGCGUGAGGGAAGAAGGCUUUCGGGUUGUAAACCUCUGUCCUUGGUGACGAAAAAAAUGACGGUAGCCAAGGAGGAAGCCCCGGCUAACUACGUGCCAGCCGCCGCCGUAA
rnacentral:rRNA from 1 species